rnacentral:lncRNA from 12 species
ACCAUCUCACACCUUCGAGGCCAGAACCAGCCUCCGGGUUCUAAAAGCUGCCCAACUUCCUGGGAACCACGCAUCCCUCCUCCCUCCUGGGAGCCCAAAUUCCAAGAAAUGCAGCUAAAAUUGGCCCUCGAACAGCUUUUGCAGAGCACGUCGCGGCUUUUUUUGGGUCUGGAGAGCCGGUUUCCAUGAUGAAAGUGGCACAGAAGGAGAGACCCAGCUAAAAACAGCCACCGCCCAGACUGGGUUGUUCGCAGGAUGCCGCCUCCCCUCGCCUCUUCAGGGUUUGGAGGCCUCACUUCCGCAGCCGCAGGCCCCCCCAACCCCAUCGCCACUGGGUGGCAGCAUCGCAGCGCGCGGCGGGGACCAGAGGACCGGGGCCCAGAGCCGCUCCUGCAAAGGAUGCCCAGAGAAGACGCACCCGCCACAAAAUCCUCCAUGGAAUGGUCUCCCUUUUAUUUGGGGGGCCUUGCAGGGGCUCUGCGGAAGCGUGUCUUCUAAGGGCUGCCCUGGCGCCCCCGAAGCACCGCCGGGGACGGGUCCCAGCGCCCAGGUGGCCCUGCAGCAGGGCACUCCCCCCAGCCGCCCGAUCUAGCAGGUUCCUUAUGCCUCGGGUCCAACCUCAUAGCAGAGCAUGGAUGGCUGCCUGGUGUGGAUCUGGAGAAUGCCAAGGACGAGAAAAAAGGACGUCAGAUGUCCCCAAGUGCCGCCUUAGCCACUGCAAAGACACAAAAGAACAAAUCUAUCAGAAACGCAAAGCCAGACAGGUCUGCUGCAGAGAAGCCAUACAAUGUGCCCUGUUCCAGGUGAGCAACUCUCCUCUCCAGCUUCUGCGAGCUCAACCUCCGAGGGAUUUUGAAGAUGCCCAGCAGAGCAUGGGGGUGGGUGGUGGGUGGGCUGGGUGUGUGCAGGUGGGGGUUGUGGGGGAAGGACCCCUGUCUUGUGUAUCAACCACAGCAAUGAUUUCUCUGCACACAACGUUCUUAACAAAGACAUCUGGGAGACCAAGAGGUAGAGCCACCCCGAACCAAUGUGACAUGGGCCCUCAGAUUGCUCAAAGUUGA